AGUAGUUAAGCGUGCUAACAGACUGUCUUAGUGUUUUGCUGCUGUGAACAGACACCAUGACCAAGGCAACUCUUAUUACGGCAGCAUAAACUGGGGUUGGCUUUCAGGUUCAGAGAUUUAGUGCAGUAUCAUCAAGGUGGGAGCAUGGCAGCAUCCAGGCAGGCAUGGUGCAGGAGAAGCUGAGAGUUCAACAUCUUUAUCUGCAGGCCUCUAAGAGAAGACUAACUUCCAGGGAAUCGGGGAUUCAGUUCCUAGUUGCUGGAUAUGCCACAGGAUCCUACAAGCCAUUUUUAAAAUAAACGGCAUGCAUUAUGAAAGAGCAGAUUCCUGAUGCCAUCUCCAGAAAGCCAGCGGUGGGAUAAUGCAUUUUUAAUCCUGAACACCUGGCUUCCUUUUAUUUGUCUGCCAGGAGGAGGUUUCUUGAUUAUGUAAAAACAGUCUGUCUUACCAGUACUAAAAACCUGGACUAAAAAGAUUGCUUCGGGAGCCCCCACUAUCCUCUUUUCCUUUGUCAUCUCUGUUCCCACCAGCAGUCCUCCCCACGACCGACACUAGUGUCUUAUCUGACAUUCGAAUUUUAUAAGCGCAUCCUGGCUUGAAGGCUUUUAAUGGCCUGUCAUUCUUGGAGAGCCAUCUUCUUCCUUUCAUGCCACCAUCUCCGACCCCCUCGUUUGUGAUCUGUGUCAGAAGACUCCUCGUGUCUGGAAUCUGUCAAGAUGUUUCAUAGCCUUACGCUCCCAGCACAGCGUUCCCUCUGCCGGGAACAGAUUAAAGACUCCCCACCCCCGACACAUACCCCAGCCCACAUUAUGAACCUUCCCCGUGCCAUAAAACGUGCCAGUAAUGUCAAAGAAAGGAACCGGAAGAGGAGAGGAGGCUGUAUUUAUGUGCCUCACCGAGUCUGCCUGCAACUAGAAAGAGAUUGGACAGGUUAGUAAUCAGGGCCAAGGUGCGGACAGAUCAACGGCUCUCCUAAUCACCCCCAGUGGCUGGUUAGAAAAUGGAGUGGGAGCCAGACUCUCAGUCAUAAGAGCCUCUGAAACGAUAAAACACCAGAAACAAGCUUUAAAACGUCUACGUCGCUAUUGUAAAACUUUCUGAAACAUGACUGAGAGGUGAGAACAAAGCCUCCCAAAUCCAUGAAGAUACACUCGACAUUUCUGCAUACAGAGCUCGAUUCAUGAGAUCGUGAGCCGGAGGCGCGCCUGCUUGAAGAUGUAUUAUGGUCUCAACCAUUUUCUCUGUGUCCUCUCGGGAAAAUUUUACCACGCUUCUAAGACUUAGCUUCCUUGUUUGCAGGCUGAGGGUAAAACUGUUAGGUAAGCUAGGUCUCAAAUGUGAGGAGAAGCCGCUGUGUUUAGCAUACGUACUCAGUCCGGGGUCAGACACAUAAUACCCAACAAGUUAUGUUUCUGUUCUUCAUUUCGGGUGUUGCCCAACAGAGGUGUUUUGGUUUUGGUUUUACCUGUGCUUUGAUGGUGCCGUCCCCUUUCAUGUGGUACCGUUUGGUUGUACACAGAUAACUGCAAUGACGUUACUUCUGUCCUAGUCACUGCCAAAGCUCUUAAAGCUCCCCUCCUCCACCCAGUGACCAACCUCUCCCAUUUUCUCAAAGGCAAUUGGAUUUUAACACUGUAGGUCACUUUUGUCAGGGUUUGGAUUUUUAUUGCUUGCUUCUGGCUUUACAUUAAAAAAAAGAAUCUU
rnacentral:lncRNA from 1 species